rnacentral:rRNA from 1 species
UGGGGAAUAUUGCACAAUGGGCGGAAGCCUGAUGCAGCGACGCCGCGUGAGCGAUGAAGCCCUUCGGGGUGUAAAGCUCUUUCGACGGGGACGAUAAUGACGGUACCCGGAGAAGAAGCUGCGGCUAACUACGUGCCAGCAGCCGCGGUAAUACGUAGGCAGCGAGCGUUGUUCGGAAUUACUGGGCGUAAAGAGUGUGUAGGCGGUGCUCUAAGUUCGGGUGUGAAAUCUCCUGGCUUAACUGGGAGGGUGCGCCGGAAACCGGAGUGCUCGAGCGUGGGAGAGGAAAGCGGAAUUCCUGGUGUAGCGGUGAAAUGCGUAGAUAUCAGGAGGAACACCUGCGGUGUAGACGGCUUUCUGGACCAUAGCUGACGCUGAGACACGAAAGCGUGGGUAGCAAACAGGAUUAGAUACCCUGGUAGUCCACGCCCUAAACGAUGCAUACUUGGUGUCGGCCAUUCAGUUGGUCGGUGCCGGAGCUAACGCGUUAAGUAUGCCGCCUGGGGA